rnacentral:rRNA from 1 species
UGGGGAAUAUUGCGCAAUGGGGGGAACCCUGACGCAGCCAUGCCGCGUGGAUGAAGAAGGCCUUCGGGUUGUAAAGUUCUUUCGGUAUUGAGGAAGGUUGAUGUGUUAAUAGCACAUCAAAUUGACGUUAAAUACAGAAGAAGCACCGGCUAACUCCGUGCCAGCAGCCGCGGUAAUACGGAGGGUGCGAGCGUUAAUCGGAAUAACUGGGCGUAAAGGGCACGCAGGCGGUUAUUUAAGUGAGGUGUGAAAGCCCUGGGCUUAACCUAGGAAUUGCAUUUCAGACUGGGUAACUAGAGUACUUUAGGGAGGGGUAGAAUUCCACGUGUAGCGGUGAAAUGCGUAGAGAUGUGGAGGAAUACCGAAGGCGAAGGCAGCCCCUUGGGAAUGUACUGACGCUCAUGUGCGAAAGCGUGGGGAGCAAACAGGAUUAGAUACCCUGGUAGUCCACGCUGUAAACGCUGUCGAUUUGGGGGUUGGGGUUUAACUCUGGCGCCCGUAGCUAACGUGAUAAAUCGACCGCCUGGGGAGUACGGCCGCAAGGUUA